rnacentral:rRNA from 1 species
GGAAUCUUAGACAAUGGGGGCAACCCUGAUCUAGCCAUGCCGCGUGAGUGAUGAAGGCCUUAGGGUUGUAAAGCUCUUUCAGCUGGGAAGAUAAUGACGGUACCAGCAGAAGAAGCCCCGGCUAACUCCGUGCCAGCAGCCGCGGUAAUACAGAGGGUGCGAGCGUUGUUCGGAAUCACUGGGCGUAAAGCGCGCGCAGGCGGGACCUGCAAGUCGGGAGUGAAAGGCCGGGGCUCAACCCCGGAGCUGCUUUCGAGACUGCGGACCUGGAGACCAGUAGGGGUUGGUGGAAUUCCCGGUGUAGCGGUGGAAUGCGUAGAUAUCGGGAAGAACACCCGUGGCGAAGGCGGCCAACUGGGCUGGAUCUGACGCUGAGGCGCGAAAGCGUGGGGAGCAAA